GAAUAUUGCGCAAUGGGCGAAAGCCUGACGCAGCAACGCCGCGUGCGGGAUGAAGGCCUUCGGGUUGUAAACCGCUUUCGGCAGGGACGAAAUUGACGGUACCUGCAGAAGAAGCCCCGGCCAACUACGUGCCAGCAGCCGCGGUAACACGUAGGGGGCAAGCGUUGUCCGGAUUUAUUGGGCGUAAAGAGCUCGUAGGCUGUUGAGUAAGUCAGCUGUUAAAGCUCCAGGCUCAACCUGGAGAGGCCAGUUGAUACUGCUCUGACUAGAGUCCGGUAGGGGAGUGCGGAAUUCCUGGUGUAGCGGUGGAAUGCGCAGAUAUCAGGAGGAACACCGAUGGCGAAGGCAGCACUCUGGGCCGGUACUGACGCUGAGGAGCGAAAGCGUGGGUAGCAAACAG
rnacentral:rRNA from 1 species